rnacentral:rRNA from 1 species
CCUACGGGAGGCAGCAGUGGGGAAUAUUGGACAAUGGGGGCAACCCUGAUCCAGCCAUGCCGCGUGUGUGAAGAAGGCCCUCGGGUUGUAAAGCACUUUCAGUGAGGAAGAACGCCUGGUGGUUAAUACCCAUCAGGAAAGACAUCACUCACAGAAGAAGCACCGGCUAACUCCGUGCCAGCAGCCGCGGUAAUACGGAGGGUGCGAGCGUUAAUCGGAAUUACUGGGCAUAAAGCGCGCGUAGGUGGCUUGAUAAGCCGGUUGUGAAAGCCCCGGGCUCAACCUGGGAACGGCAUCCGGAACUGUCAAGCUAGAGUGCAGGAGAGGAAGGUAGAAUUCCCGGUGUAGCGGUGAAAUGCGUAGAGAUCGGGAGGAAUACCAGUGGCGAAGGCGGCCUUCUGGACUGACACUGACACUGAGGUGCGAAAGCGUGGGUAGCAAACAGGAUUAGAUACCCGGGUAGUC